GGAACUUCAAAAAGGGUCGUCCUUCCUGUGCUUGCUUUACUGAUGGUGCAUUUUUGAAGUGCGUCCCAUUUUUCAGAAUC
rnacentral:pre_miRNA from 1 species